rnacentral:tmRNA from 1 species
GGGGAUGUAAAGGUUUCGACGGGGGUACCGAACCGGUAUAAGCGGGCAGUGGCGCCGAUCCACUAUAAUAGCGGCCGUUAAAGAUAAACGACAAAACUAACAACACAUUCGCAAUGGCAGCAUAGCGUCUGCCGCGAUGUCAGCCCGGGCUCACCUGCAGGCCCGGAAUCUGGCAUGGACAUGCAGGAAACCAUGCGCGUGACUCCCGUAGCGCGCAUGGACUAGCGGGAUAGCGAAGCGCGCAGUCUGCUGACCGUCCGCGCGCCGAGCGAAGCUUCAAACGAUGAGCUGCGCCCGGAGAAAAUACCGCAGACGUAUUUUCGGACAGGGGUUCGACUCCCCUCAUCUCCACCA